GGAAGAUAUAGCUCAGUGGUAGAGCGCAUGCUUCACAUGCAAGAGAUCCUGGGUUCAAUCCCCAGCACCUCCA